rnacentral:rRNA from 1 species
GAACCCAAGUAGAGUGGCGAACGGGUGAGUAACGCGUAGGAAACCUGCCUUUUAGUGGGGGACAACCACCGGAAACGGUGGCUAAUACCGCAUGUGAUUAUAGAAACACAUGUUUUUAUGAUCAAAGACGGCCUCUUCUUGAAAGCUGUUGCUAAGAGAGGGUCCUGCGUUGUAUCAGAUUGUUGGUGAGGUAAUGGCUCACCAAGUCUAAGACGCAUAGCCGGCCUGAGAGGGUGUACGGCCACACUGGGACUGAGAUACGGCCCAGACUCC